GUUGCCGACAGGCGCGCUCGGCUUGCUCGGCCCGUUAGCCAGUGGUCUCCGUGCGGUUUGUCCGCGCGGAGAUCACGCUCCCUCGCCGUCCGGACGGACAUGUAAGUGCUCCGAGUAGGUGUGAGAGCCGUGUAGGUGGCUCUCUCGCUUAGGCGGAGGUCGAGGAAGCGGGGUCGCUGACGUCCCCAGUCUGACGCCGGGCGGCUGAUCUCCUCCGACUGAACGCGAGAGAAGCAUGCCACGUAAGUGGCGAUGUUGUUUUUACUUGCACUGAGCAUGUAGCUUAAGCCACGGCUGAUCGGAAUUACGAGAGAGAAGCCAGACCGGAGUUGUCGAGCGAGUAUUAAUAACGCGAGAACGGUUAGAUGUUGUAACGCACUAUGGGAAAGAUCAAUGACGUGUUAGGAAUAACGCCAAGGCGACCCGAGAUCAAACGUACCGAAUCACGUCAGAAUGCAAGCAAGGAAUUUGACCGUACGAAGGUAUAGGUAGAUCUAAGAAAUAGUUCAGACACUUCGCUGACGGGGUGUAGGUCGGUUGGCAGUAGCGGCUAGUGACUGCUGCAACUACGAAUAGUCGAGGCGGGAGCGAUGACCAGAUGUGCGGAUGGCGCGCAGAAUGGCAUGGAUAAGCGGACGAGAAGUGGUGUUGAAACGGAUAGUACACAUUCGGCCUAUGUCCAGAUUAUGUGAGCCUCCUCAUUCCUUUCCUUUAUUCUACUCGGCGUGUAAAGGAGCGUCGCCUAGCUGCCGUCGUCGCACCGACAGCGUAACUUAUUUCCGAAAAUCGUCAACAACCACUCACCCCUGGGGUGCUAAACCAAGGACAAUCGUCGAGAUCUCGAAUGUUCUAAAGCCCAGCACUUUUUUUUCAUGAUGUAUUGAAAAAAUACUCGAGGUUUGGCAUUUACUUAAUUAAGGGAAGGCAAAGAUUCUUGCUGAAUUGUCGACAAUAUGAGCAACAGAGGCGGAUAUUUUCGUCACCAUUGUCACUUUCAAAGUUUGUCAAUAUUAUUACCUGAACAAGACCUGAAAGGUCGCCGAAGGGAUGAGUGCGGCCUCUUUCGUUCCGCUAAUACGAAAAUAAGAAAACCGGAUGCUACUGUCAGAUAAUUUAUUACGCUAUUGAAAAAAAAGUGCAAUAAAGGAAAAUGGUGUCACAAUGGAAAUAUUUCUCUACGGACAAUUGAAACGUCACAGCCUAACAUUUUAACGCUUCAUAUAAACGAGAAUGGAAAAUUUUGGAGUUAUUGGAAAUAACUACUAAUUCAUUAUAUUUCAGAUUACAAUAGAUUUCAGUGGCAUUGUUGUGUGAAACUGUGAAAAGAGGUAAAGGCAAAAAUCAGAAUUUUCAGGUAGCGAAGAAAUAUAUUUGACAGAAAUAUAAAGUUAAAUGUGGAUAUUUGUUUAAAGUUUCAUAGUUUAAAUGCACGGUAGAUUUAAAACGCUCGAAUUAUUUAAGAAAAGUGAUUAAUGACCAAUCUGUAUAAACUUAAAUUAUUAUUUCUCAUAUAUACAGGCAUGCUUAUAGUUUAAAUAAUAAAUAUCCUGAAAUAAAUAAACUCACUAAUUUAAUUUAAUAAUAUUAGAUUAAAAGAGUCAAUUGUAUCGAGAAUUUCAUUAAAGAAAGAAUAAAUUUUUGCAAAAAAUGUAUGAAGA